UGGACACAUGGAUGGAAAGGCCUCCAGAUGAUUCCACCCCCCUCACCAUGUGAGUCUUCCCAGCUCACCCCCCAGAUCUGUGGAGCAGGAGGAAAGCCAACACCAUUGCGUCCUGUCUAAAUUGUGACCCACAAAAUCCAUGAGCAAAGUAAAAGUUGGUCGAGCCACAUGAGGCACCGCGUAUCCACAGACAACUCGCAAGGCACGGCAGAUCAAGGAAGUGUGGAAAAUGCCGGCUCCAGUGAGUUUCUUACCACGAGCGAGAACUUGAAUGUGCCCCUGCCCAGGAGGAUGGCGAUGAUGAAAUACGAAGAGUGAAGGCCACUUGUCUGACCGAGUGUCUCGUGAACCCGGUCCCACUGGCUGCCCUUGGGUCCCAGAAGCUACUUGUCCAGAGGAGGCCCCACAUCCAAGGCAUGUCCCAUGAAGCAACCUCCACGAUGGCCAAUGUGGGAUCCCCUAGGGA